UACGUAGGUGGCAAGCGUUGUCCGGAUUUAUUGGGCGUAAAGAGCUCGUAGGCGGCUCGUCGCGUCGACCGUGAAAACCCGCGGCUUAACUGCGGGCUUGCGGUUGAUACGGGCGGGCUAGAGUUCGGUAGGGGAGACUGGAAUUCCUGGUGUAGCGGUGAAAUGCGCAGAUAUCAGGAGGAACACCGGUGGCGAAGGCGGGUCUCUGGGCCGAUACUGACGCUGAGGAGCGAAAGCGUGGGGAGCGAACAGG
rnacentral:rRNA from 1 species